rfam:Triticum aestivum genome assembly, contig: Triticum_aestivum_CS42_TGACv1_scaffold_423431_5BS
CUCAUACUCCCUCCGUCCCAAAAUUCUUGUCUUAAAAUUUGUCUAGAUAUGGAUGUAUCAAGUCACGUUCUAGUAUUAGAUACAUCUGUAUCUAGACAAAUACUAUAAGACAAGAAUUUUGGGACAGAGGGAGUAUUCA